UACAGAGGUGGCGAGCGUUAUUCGGAAUUAUUGGGCGUAAAGGGCUCGUAGGCGGUUUGUCGCGUCGGGAGUGAAAACACUGGGCUUAACUCAGUGCUUGCUUCCGAUACGGGCAGACUAGAGGUAUGCAGGGGAGAACGGAAUUCCUGGUGUAGCGGUGAAAUGCGCAGAUAUCAGGAGGAACAUCGGUGGCGAAGGCGGUUCUCUGGGCAUUACCUGACGCUGAGGAGCGAAAGUGUGGGGGAGCGAACAGG
rnacentral:rRNA from 1 species